UUCAAUUCAGCCAGAGCAAGGGCACCAAGCAGGAAAGUGAUAGAACCGGCCUGUGAAGGCAGCAGCCUGGUCCUGGGGCCCAGAGCCCAGAGCCGCAUCUGCCACUAGGACAGGCAGCCAGGAUACAAGGAGGACGCUUGGAGCUGUGACUUGUUGCUUUCGGUUAGAAGCAUCCACCGUGGAUUGACAUCGCUCCAGUGCACUUGGGAGGCUGGAGUCCUCUAAUAAUCCAUCACAUAUAAAGAUGCCUUGGGGAGCCACUAACCCUUUCUCUGCUGCUGUGAAGUCGAACCCUGACAGAGAUGGGCGUCUGGGCAGCACCACCACAGAUUCAUCAUCAUCAGCACUCAUCAUUACCAGCCAUGGGGAGAAGCUGAGAAGACCGCUUGUGUGUGGUGCUCGGGCAAAGCUAUGUCCAGGGGCCUUCAGAAUGUGUGCCAUCCCAUAAUGAACCACCACAAAGAAAGCUUCCCAGGGACCGAGGCUACCGAGGAACUGAGGCUAGUCAGGCAGUUGUCUGAUUUAAAGUGACCGUUAUGUUUCUUCUUGUGCACAUGUGGUCCACAUUAAACCCUUCUGACGCACUCCCGGAUCUCAUUAACUGAUCCUAAAGCUACAGAGCCCAGCUUGGAGUUUAGUCACUGCCUGGUAUACACAAGUUUGGAUUCUGUCCCCAGCACAGCAAAACUCAGACAAACAAACAAGCAAACAAAACAGAACAGAACAGCUAUUUUACAAUCUGAGAAUCUAUUAAUAAUUUUAAUUUACAUUCUUGAAAUUAUUAGCAGUUUAAUUGCUCAAUGUUCUACAUUUUUCUUAUAUUCAGAUACUUGACUCAAUUCCAUUUUUUUCUUUUGG